AUGUAAUGCGAAAUGUAUCAUUACGCAUAACAUAUUUGUAAUUUGAAAUGUAUAAUUUUUGUAUCAUUUUCUGUUUAGGUUAUUAUGCUACAUGUAAUGCUGAAAGCAGCAUAUAUGCUCAGCAAAGUCCAACCCCACGUCCGUGCAAAAUAACGUGAGCCACGUGCUGAGCGGGCAACAUCUUAGGUGGCUAACGGGGCAAUGGCAAAUCCUCCUGGAGUAAAAAUGAAAAAUAUCUAAGGGCGAAAUUGGAUAUCGGCUUACUAGCUAUGAUUUUAAGUUCUGUCAAGACUGGAAAUGACACAGAGGCAAUCCGCCCAUUUAUGGAGAAUAUCCAUCAAACUCUGUCCGAAUUUGUUAGUAUUUGUCCCUUUGAAGCAGCUCGGGAUGUUCUUACACAUUACGAAGUGCUGCAGUGCUCCAGGUCGUUGGUUGUCUUAUAUUCCGAAGAAGUUUUCGAUAGAAUCUUGCAACAAUUGAAGUCACCAGUCGCUAAUCAACACGCUCGUGCUUUAGUAGUUCUCUUAGACAUCUCAUAAACAAACACUUUUCCGCCAGAGGAUGAUGGAUCUCUGCAGAGAAUCGCACUUAGCCUGCAGGAAUCUUUCGGGGAGAAUGGUGCGCUUCAAACGGUCGGGGCUAUAGUGGCACUCGCGGCACGGCCAACAUUUCCUCUUUUGCCGUCACAGAGGGCUAGAUUUGUUCGCUAUGGUUACAUAAACAAUGCGCAAAAUAGGUGUCACACUGUGAAACGAAGAGUUCUAAAAAAGCAUUGUGGAAUUACCUAGAAAAAUUCGACUGGAAAAUAUUGGCUUUUUUUCAUAUGGCAUACAGACGUCGAGGAUAAUCAGUGUCAGUUAUCAUUAAACAUA